AUGUUGGAGUUGGCCAAACUAAAAGAACAGACCAAGAUGGAUCGACAGAAGAUUGAACACCUCGAGGACCGCAUUAAAUACCUGGAAGAGGUCAACAGUGAGCUAAAAAACGACAAGGAAUUCCUGCUUUCACAAAUGAAGGGAGCCCCCAGUGCACCUGCAUCUACUGGAAAGUCAGGUUUCAGAAAGACUGCUCACAUUCCUUCUUCAUCUUCACCUUCAAUGUCUCCAUCCCCCUCCUCUUCAUCCUCAGACUUCAGCUCCUCAUCAUCCUCAGAAGAGGAGCAGCAGAAGAAGAAAAAGAAAAAGUCAAAAAAAAUACACUGACUCACACAGCCGUUCAAGAAGUAAGCACAGGCUUUGAUUCAUAAUGAGAUGGUUUCUUACAUUAAAGUUGCCCAUUACUGAAGUUUAAGCCAACAUUUAUAUUCUGUCUUAAUUUUCUCUCAUUCAUGAUGUUCUAAACCUGUGUGACUUUCUUUUUUUCUGGAUAUAAGAUAUUUUGAGAAAUGUUUGUAAACAAAGAGUUUUGGCUGCCAUUGACUUCCAUAUGGACUAAAAACAAAAACAACACUGAAACAUUUCUCAAAAUAUCUUCUUUUGUGUUUCACAGAAAAAAGAAAUUCAUACAGAUUUUGAAUGAAAUGAGGAUGGGUAAAUGAAAACAAAAUGUUUCAUAAUAAAUAAUCCUAUAUUUAGCCUUUAAAGCAGACAAGAACCGACAGUAAUUUCCACGCUGAUUCAGUGUGCAUCCUCCACCCAGGCUGGUUAUGUUUGAUUUAGGCUGUCAGAUAUGAAAGGACACAGCUUACUGUGCUGGUUCUUGUAAAUUGAAAGGAGAAUGCACAGUGAACCAGCAGGUUAAGUAUAAUUCUUUCAUAUCUGCUGUUGCCUGAAAAGAAGCUGACACGAUUAAUCGCAUUUGCUAUUACAUAUCUGUAACAAUGACAGACAAUUGCCAGGAAUUCCCAAAACUCACAUUUCCGCUCCGCCACCUCAAACAUCUCCCAGAAGACACGUGUUACUCACCAUUUUACAGAAGCUUCUCAAGCAUACCACUUGUCCCAGAACCUCCCGCAUUUCGAUAGCGUUUCCCGGAUGCCGAGAAAUCGCAGAGUGGGAUGUCUGGCAUCUUAAAGAACAUUAGCUGAGAUUAAAUCUACUUCUAAUACUGCAAGGAUGACUGCAAGUGUCUCUUUAAUAUUUGUUUUAAUUAGGACUGUCAACUGAUUAAAAUACUUAAUCACAAUUAAUACUUUUGAAAGCCCUAGUUUAUUUAUUUGUUUGUAUUGGUUAUUUUUUUGUUCAGUGACCACAACGGAUGGAAUCAUCCGCCGCUACAAGAAUGCCCUUAAGAGAUUCACCAAGUUUGGAUCCAUGAAAAAGGCCUUCGCCAAGAUUAAUGUUGACCGCAACACAAUUGCAAGAACAGCUAUAAUUGCUGAGCUAGCAAUCACAUAUCCUGAUACAUUUCAGGAGCUGCUCCCUACAGAUGAAGUCAGUGAGAAGAUCUCAGAGUUUGCAGAGCGCUGCAAGAGGGCUAUGUCAAAAGAGAUGGCUGAAACGAUCACAGCAAAGAAAAAACGUGGGCAACUCCUCCCAAUAAUGUACAAGUACACCUAAUUUUUUUUCUUCUCCUAAACAAGUUAUCCUGUUGUUUUCCCUCCAAAACACUAAAUAUAUGUGUUGAGAUUAUUUUGUAACCCUCUGUUUGAGGAAGCACAGGUAAUUAUUAUUAUUUUUUUGUAAUUUUUUUUUUCAUUCUAUGUCAGAAAAUGUCAGAAGCCUCUGUGUGAGGAAGAGCAAGUUCUGUUACUUGUCAGUUUUUUAUGUAUUGUGCACAUACAUAAAGUUAAGUAAAAUCUUUUGACGUGUCUGUUGAAUUUUGUUAAGGUAUUUAACAUUAUUUGACCAUAUAGGAAUACCACUUAACAUUUAAUGACAAGUUAAACUCGUACCACUGCAGAAAAAUAUUCAUGACACUGUUAUAAAACUAUUUGACAGAUUAUUAACACUUAAUGACAUUUUGAUGACAAAUUCAAUGUGUACCACUGAAGAAAAAAAAACUGGUCAUAAAUUCAUGACACAAUUAUAAUGCCGGCCUCAUGACAGUCAAAACCAACCACAUGACAGUUUAAUGUACUGUUAACCCUUAAAGCUAAGUAGUUUCUUAAAUUUGAUAAUUAAUCUGCUAUGUCAUAUUUUAUAACAGAUUUAUGACAGGUUAUGUUUUCUUGGUAAUGUCAAGUUGUCAUGACAAAGACACUGACACGUUAUGAUGUAUUGGUUUAUGUCAAGGUGUCAUAACAAAGACAUUUCAAACAAUGUCAUCUUUGCAUUAAAAAUGUCAUAAUUGAGCGAAUGACACUUAAUGACAGUUGUCACAAACAUGCAUAAAAACUCCUUCAUAUUAAUGACAUGUAUCAUAGCAUGAUUAUGAAGGUGUCAUGUUAGUCUUAUGCACACCCCUUCAAGUAAAGUGUUACCGGGUACGGUAAGGACAUGGCUGUUUGUAAUUACUUGUCCCUACUGUAAGCACUAUAUAUUUACCAUGUAUAUACAUUAGUCAGUACAGUAAAGUAUCUAAUUAGUUACUAUGUAUGGGGACUAACUGUAAGUGAACAUUCUUACACACACUUGGCUGUAUGUACAAAAUAAUUACCAUUGAUGUACAACUGUUAAGUACAGCAGUGUUUCUUAUUUGUUAACAUGUACAUACACUUCAGGUAAGUACCUUGAGUUACCACUCACUUGCCUGUAAGUACAGGAUAUUUACCAUAUACGUAACAGGAAAGUACAUGUAGUGUAAAACAAAGUCCUACCAACACAUCUUUUUUAUAUGAGAAUAAAUGACCCACCCGCCCAUCUGAAAUACUCACCAAAUUGGUUCUGUGAGGCUUUCUUUUUGUUUUUCUCAAAUUUUUUGCGGACAACUUGACAUGUCCUUUGGGUUUCCAGAAUCUUUAUUCUGUGCCUCAAGACAGAAAUCUGCUGAUGCAGAUCCUUAUUUUCUUGCUCUGCCCUUUGAAGUUUCUUUAACACAUCACGGGGAGCAUUUUUUCUCUCCUCACCCCCUUUUGUGUCAAUUGUGUCCUCCUCAUCCCCCUUUUCAGUGGCCUGCUCCCCCCCACUUGUGUCCACCUCUCUUCCAAGCUCUUCAAGCUUGGUCACAAGUGGGGGGUUUGCAUUAUUCUUUAUUAAUUUCUCAAGAAGUUUUGAGAUAUUUUUUCUCUUUGACCUGAUUAAUUCGUCUUGUAGAUCAGAUGCCUAAAAAUAAAAAAGAAAGUAUACAAAUUUAAAUAAAAGCAAUUAAACGUGGUUGACAGUAAAGUCUUGGCAUCCACAACUCUGCACAUUUUGUAUGUAUCUCAGUGUUUUCCCUAGGUUAACAGCGCUGGGGGGGAGCUGAGUGGUGAGGUGGAUGUUUGGCGAGGCAGCAGGUGCAGAUAUUUUUGUCUGCUUUUGGUGGGAGUGUGCGCGGGCAUGUGUCUGUGCGCAUUGGGCCGGAACUCAGAGAGCAGAGUAGAAUUGUAAAUGCACUAACAUGUGGAAAAAGAAUUUACAUGCUGUAAUAUAAAUAACAUAAGACCAUUUAGUUUGUUUAAUAAAA
ensembl:lncRNA